rnacentral:rRNA from 1 species
AGUCAGGAGCCGUCACAGGUGCUGCAUGGCUGUCGUCAGCUCGUGCCGUGAGGUGUAUGGUUAAGUCCUGCAACGAGCGCAACCCUCGUCGCUAGUUGAUUUCUCUAGCGAGACUGCCCCGCAAAACGGGGAGGAAGGUGGGGAUGACGUCAAGUCAGCAUGGCCUUUAUAUCUUGGGCUACACACACGCUACAAUGGAUGGCACAAUAGGUUGCAACAGCGCGAGCUGAAGCUAAUCCCCAAAAGCCAUCCUCAGUACAGAUUGCAGGCUGAAACCCGCCUGCAUGAAGUCGGAGUUGCUAGUAACCGCAAAUCAGCAUGUUGCGGUGAACUACGUUCUCGGGCCUU